AGUGAACGUUGGCGGCGUGGAUUAGGCAUGCAAGUCGAGCGAGAACCGUAGCAAUACGGGGACAGCGGCGAAAGGGACAGUAAUGUGUAGGUACCUACCUCCGGGUUCGGGAUAGCUGCGGGAAACUGCAGGUAAUACCGAAUAACGUCUCCGGACCAAAGGCGUGAUUCCACCUGGAGAGGGGCCUGCAUCCUAUUAGCUAGUUGGGGAGGUAACGGCUCACCAAGGCGACGAUGGGUAGCGGGUGUGAGAGCACGACCCGCGUCAUUGGGACUGAGACACUGCCCAGACACCUACGGGUGGCUGCAGUCGAGGAUCUUCGGCAAUGGGCGCAAGCCUGACCGAGCGACGCCGCGUGCGGGAUGAAGGCCUUCGGGUUGUAAACCGCUGUCGUAGAGGAGGAAUUGCAGGGGGGUUCUCCCCUCUGCUUGACCUAUUCUAGGAGGAAGGACGGGCUAAGUUCGUGCCAGCCGCCGCGGUAA
rnacentral:rRNA from 1 species